UAUUAUAUUAUAUUAUAUUAUAUUAUAUAUAAGGCAAAUAAUAUAUAUUAUAAAUAUAUAUAAUAUAUAUAAUAGAAAUAUAUAUAACAUAUUAUAUAUUAUAUUCCCUAUUACAUAUUAUAUAUUCUGUAAAUGAUACCAUUUUAGUGUGUAAAUCUAAAGUCCAUAUGAGAGUUUAGAGAAGAAGGGUUUAGAGAAACCCCAAAUGAGAAACCCCAAAGGAGCAAGGGUGGAGUAAAAUUCUGUAAAAUCAGCUGAGCUGAGAGCUCAGGAAUCAGGAACCAGCUCCAAAUCCAGCCUGGCAUGGUUCAAAGCAGGCUUGAGAGGAAAAAAAGGUGCAAGGGUGGAGUAAAAUUCUGUAAAAUCAGCUCAGCUGAGAAUUCAGGAGUUCCAUGAGAGCUCCGUGCUCUAGAACCAGCUCCAAAUCCAGCCUGGCACAGCCUGGCACGGUUCAAAUUGGGAUUGAGAGGAAAGGAGGAGUAAGGGUGGAGUAAAAUUCCGUAAAAUCAACUGAGCUGAGAGCUCAGGAAUCAAGAACCAGCUCCAAAUCCAGCCUGGCACGGUUCAAAGUGGGCUUGAGAGGAAAAAAGGUGCAAGGGUGGAGUAAAAUUCCAUAAAAUCAGCUCAGCUGAGAAUUCAGGAGUCGGAACGAGCUCCAAAUCCAGCCUGGCACAGCCUGGCACGGUUCAAACUGGGCUUGAUAGAAAAGGAGGAUCAAGGGUGGAGUAAAAUUCCAUAAAAUCAGCUCAGCUGAGAAUUCAGGAGUCGGAACCAGCUCCAAAUCCAGCCUGGCACGGUUCAAAGUGGGCUUGAGAGGAAAGGAGGUGCAGGGAUGGAGUGAACACCAAAACAUCUGGCUGGCAGCUGCAGCCAGAGCAAAAACCCAGAUGGAAUUGGGAUUCCCCGACGGAAUCGGGGCCAGGAGCCGCCGCCGCGGCAGCAGGGUGCCACAAAGCUCCGUGGUCCCUCACACUCCUCGGAGCAAGGAGAGCAGCGGCGAGGCCCGAUCCUAAAAAUCCGGGCUCAAAAUUUCUGGGGGAAUUUGGGAAUUCAAGCUGCAGGAGCAGCCCCGCGCUCGGCUCGGCGUGGAGCAGGGAAUCCAGGGCUGAGGAGCGCCACCAGCCAGGAGCGAACACUCCAACCCAGCGUGGGGCUAAUGAAGGGCUUUUCUUUUUUUUUUUUUUUUUGGUUUUCAAGAGGAAAAUCAGCCGAGGUGCAGAAACAAACAGGGCUGAGCGUGUCGGAGAGGCAGCACGAGGUGGGAGAGAGGUUAAAAGGAGAGAUUCUGGGCACCGAGGAGCUCACAGGGAUGGUGGAAACAUCUCCCGCCGCUUCCCUGGGGAUUUCUGGGCCUUUCAGAGCCUCCAGGGAGAUGCUUAGGAAUGCCACCAGUGACUUCUGGGGACAGCCAGGACACAACCCCAGGAAUGCCACCACUGAGUUCUGGGGACA
rnacentral:lncRNA from 1 species